rnacentral:rRNA from 1 species
AGUGAACGCUGGCGGUAGGCCUAACACAUGCAAGUCGAACGGCAGCACAGGAGAGCUUGCUCUCUGGGUGGCGAGUGGCGGACGGGUGAGGAAUACAUCGGAAUCUACUUUUUCGUGGGGGAUAACGUAGGGAAACUUACGCUAAUACCGCAUACGACCUACGGGUGAAAGCCGGGGAUCUUCGGACCUUGCGCGAUUGAAUGAGCCGAUGUCGGAUAAGCUAGUUGGCGGGGUAAAGGCCCACCAAGGUGACGAUCCGUAGCUGGUCUGAGAGGAUGAUCAGCCACACUGGAACUGAGACACGGUCCAGACUCCUACGGGAGGCAGCAGUGGGGAAUAUUGGACAAUGGGCGCAAGCCUGAUCCAGCCAUACCGCGUGGGUGAAGAAGGCCUUCGGGUUGUAAAGCCCUUUUGUUGGGAAAGAAAUCCAGCUGGUUAAUACCCGGUUGGGAUGACGGUACCCAAAGAAUAAGCACCGGCUAACUUCGUGCCAGCCGCCGCCGUAA